rnacentral:rRNA from 1 species
AACGAACGCUGGCGGCGUGCCUAACACAUGCAAGUCGAGCGGGAAAGUUCCCUUCGGGGAGCGAGUACAGCGGCGAACGGGUGAGUAACACGUAGGUAACCUACCUUGGGGUCUGGGAUAACCUGUCGAAAGACGGGCUAAUACCGGAUAAGACCACGAGGGCUUUGGCCCUUGAGGUAAAAGAUGGCCUCUGCUUGCACGCUAUCCCCCCGAGAUGGGCCUGCGCGCCAUUAGCUAGUUGGUGAGGUAAUGGCUCACCAAGGCGAAGAUGGUUAGCUGGUCUGAGAGGAUGAUCAGCCACACUGGGACUGAGACACGGCCCAGACUCCUACGGGAGGCAGCAGUGGGGAAUAUUGCGCAAUGGGCGAAAGCCUGACGCAGCGACGCCGCGUGGGUGAUGAAGGCCUUCGGGUCGUAAAGCCCUGUCGGGAGGGACGAAAUCUUGCCGACCCAAUACGUCGGUGACUUGACGGUACCUCCAAAGGAAGCACCGGCUAACUCCGUGC